rnacentral:rRNA from 2 species
UUGACCUCGGAUCAGGUAGGGAUACCCGCUGAACUUAAGCAUAUCAAUAAGCGGAGGAAAAGAAACCAACAGGGAUUGCCUUAGUAACGGCGAGUGAAGCGGCAAUAGCUCAAAUUUGAAAGCUGGCGUCUUCGACGUCCGCGUUGUAAUUUGUAGAGGAUGCUUCGGUGAGGACUCCUGCCUAAGUCCCCUGGAACGGGGCGUCACAGAGGGUGAGAAUCCCGUAUGUGGCGGGCGGUCCAAGCCAUGUGAAGCUCCUUCGACGAGUCGAGUUGUUUGGGAAUGCAGCUCUAAAUGGGAGGUAAAUUUCUUCUAAAGCUAAAUAUUGGCCAGAGACCGAUAGCGCACAAGUAGAGUGAUCGAAAGAUGAAAAGCACUUUGGAAAGAGAGUUAAAAAGUACGUGAAAUUGUUGAAAGGGAAGCGCUUGCAACCAGACUCGCUCGCAGUUGCUCAGCCGGCCUCUUGGCCGGUGUACUCUUCUGCGAUCGGGCCAGCAUCAGUUCGGGCGGCUGGAUAAAGGUGUCGGGAAUGUAGCACCCUUCGGGGUGUGUUAUAGCCCGGUGCGGAAUGCGGCCAGCCUGGACUGAGGAUCUCGCUUCGGCAAGGAUGCUGGCGUAAUGGUUGUAAGCGGCCCGUCU